GACGAACGCUGGCGGCGUGCUUAACACAUGCAAGUCGAACGAUGAAGCCCAGCUUGCUGGGUGGAAGAGUGGCGAACGGGUGAGUAACACGUGAGUAACCUGCCCCUGACUCUGGGAUAAGCGCUAGAAAUGGCGUCUAAUACUGGAUAUGACCUAUCACCGCAUGGUGUGUAGGUGGAAAGAUUUAUCGGUUGGGGAUGGACUCGCGGCCUAUCAGCUUGUUGGUGAGGUAAUGGCUCACCAAGGCGACGACGGGUAGCCGGCCUGAGAGGGCGACCGGCCAAACUGGGACUGGGACACGGCCCAGACUCCUACGGGAGGCAGCAGUGGGGAAUAUUGCACUAUGGGCGCAAGCCUGAUGCAGCAACGCCGCGUGAGGGAUGACGGCCUUCGGGUUGUAAACCUCUUUUAGUAGGGAAGAAGCGCAAGUGACGGUACCUGCAGAAAAAGCACCGGCUAACUACGUGCCAGCAGCCGCCGUAA
rnacentral:rRNA from 1 species